rnacentral:rRNA from 1 species
ACCUGGCCGGGCGGUCUGCCUCACGGUACGUACUGUCCGGCUGGGCCUUACCUCUUGGUGAGCCGGCAUGCCCUUCACUGGGUGUGUCGGGGAACCAGGACUUUUACCUUGAGAAAAUUAGAGUGUUCAAAGCAGGCCUAUGCCCGAAUACAUUAGCAUGGAAUAAUAGAAUAGGACGUGCGGUUCUAUUUUGUUGGCUUCUAGAGUCGCCGUAAUGAUUAAUAGGGACAGUCGGGGGCAUUGGUAUUCAGGCGCUAGAGGUGAAAUUCUUGGAUUGCCUGAAGACUAACUACUGCGAAAGCAUUUGCCAAGGAUGUUUUCAUUGAUCAAGGACGAAGGUUAGGGGCUCGAAAACGAUCAGAUACCGUUGUAGUCUUAACAGUAAACUAUGCCGACUAGGGAUCGGGCGACCUCAAUUUGAUGUGUCGCUC